rnacentral:rRNA from 1 species
GACGAACGCUGGCGGCGUGCUUAACACAUGCAAGUCGAACGGAAAGGCCCUGCUUUUGUUGGUUGCUCGAGUGGCGAACGGGUGAGUAACACGUGAGUAACCUGCCCUUGACUUUGGGAUAACUUCAGGAAACUGGGGCUAAUACCGGAUAGGAGCUCCUGCUGCAUGGGGUGGGUUGGAAAGGUUCGGCGGUUGGGGAUGGACUCGCGGCUUAUCAGCUUGUUGGUGGGGUAGUGGCUUACCAAGGCUUCGACGGGUAGCCGGCCUGAGAGGGUGACCGGCCACAUUGGGACUGAGAUAGGGGCCAGACUCGUACGGGAGGCAGCAGUGGGGAAUAUUGCACAAUGGGCGGAAGCCUGAUGCAGCAACGCCGCGUGCGGGAUGACGGCCUUCGGGUUGUAAACCGCUUUCGCCUGUGACGAAGCGUGAUUGACGGUAAUGGGUAAAGAAGCACCGGCUAACUACGUG